AUGGCAUUAAGGUCUUCCAAGAAGCAGAUGCCAAGAUGGGCUCAAAUGUGCAAGAUAUUUAUGGAAAACCACCUAUGAAGGACAAAGGAACAGAGAACAAGAGCCUUCCCCCAUGUCUAAUACCUGUGAAAGGAGAGAGAGAAGGAAGAAUUUAGUAGGAAGAGCCUGAGGUUGCUGCUUAGUUCUGAGAAAGCCUCAGCGAGGCCGAUGGAGAGCCCUUGAGCUGAGGUUGCCCAUUAGACAAAUUCUGCAUCAGAUGAGGGAAGGAAUCAUAAUUGGCUAACAAGAGGAGAUACAUUUGACUAUGUUAAGAGAACUGGAGGUGCUGAUCAGAAACCCACAAAUAUCUGCCAGGCUGGCAACAGACCCUAAAGAGAGGAGCCUGGGAGGUAGGCAAUAUUAUCGCUAUGUUACUGAAGAUACAACUGAGGCGUAUCUCAAGCUACUUAUGCCAGCUCUUAUUGCCUGUGAGGAUCAAGCCAAAAUCAAACAGAUUAACAAAAAACAGUUGAGGAGCAAGCUAAAUUCCUACAGGCAAUAGUGGGACCAGAGCUCAUAGGCUGGCACCAAUAGUACAGUUUGGUCCCAAGGAGAAGCAGCAAGGCCAUGCAGGGAAUCACAUAAACAGAUCAGAAACUGAAGUUUGGCUUGCUGACGUGACUUGCUCAAGGUCACAUAGCUACGAAUUGUAGACCUAGAACUAAAAACAUCCUGGCUCCUUGUCUAGUUUUUAUUGCUCUAUCCCAGGUUGUCUAGCUUAACUAACUCUUGCUUCAUGGAGCUUGUAGGAAAGGAUGCCCUGCAAAUGCAGGACGUAAGCAUCUGGGGAAUAUAUCCAAUCAUUCUUGCAUUAAAC
rnacentral:lncRNA from 10 species